rnacentral:rRNA from 1 species
UACGAAGGGGGCUAGCGUUGUUCGGAAUUACUGGGCGUAAAGCGUGCGCAGGCGGCUUCUCAAGUCAGGGGUGAAAGCCCAGAGCUCAACUCUGGAAUUGCCUUUGAGACUGAGUGGCUUGAGUACGAGAGAGGUGAGUGGAAUUCCCAGUGUAGAGGUGAAAUUCGUAGAUAUUGGGAAGAACACCGGAUGGCGAAGGCGCAUCCCUGG